rnacentral:lncRNA from 10 species
GAGCUGGAAGAAACGAAGAACCUCAACAAUUUUUAUUUCUACUUUUGAUCAAGGAAAAGCGUAUUUAGAAGGUUCGCUAGAGAAAAAUUUAGCAGUUUGGAGGAUUGAGAUCCUUUGGCAGAGAUAUGGGAGUGUGAGCAGGAAAUAUUUUUUUAAAGGAAGAGCUGGUGUUUUAGGAUGUCAAAGGUACAAAUUAUGAUGGUGCCAUGGUUGACAGAAAUUUGCAAGAUCUCCGUAUCUACAUGAACUCUUUGCUCCUGACUAUUAGCUGACUGGUCCAGAAAUUCUUGAUCCAAGCUUGAUAUGUAAGCUUCUCUCUCCUGUGAAUAUGGCACUGAGAGACACAAGAUUAGAAGCCCUGGGUGCUGAUCAAACUCAUAGCAAGGAAGAGUGGUGGCUCAAGACUGCCUGCUCCUGAGACUUCUGAGAAGGGUGUCUCUCUGUCUGUGUGGAUGCCUGAUGCUUCUGGUAUUUCACAAAUCUUGAGCCUGGCCAGGAGUUUACUAACAGGCACCCCUGUGUCAUCUGAACAAGACAGUAUGAGAUCUUCAUGAUUCUGGACCAUAAGGAUUCCAAAUAGGCUGUUCACUUAUGAGUAGGCCUGUAACACGGACGUGUGAGAAUAAACGCCAGAGAAAAAUUUUUGGGCUUACAUUUCACAUCUGCCUGUGCAGUUCUGUGGCUUAGACAUCUCUGGAAAGUUUGUAUUUGUUCAGAAGAAAGUGGCUUUUAUGGAGAUGUCACUGGAAAAUGUUACUUUUGAUUGCUUGGACUACUUAGGAUUUUACUGGCUGGUCUACUUGUGGGUACAAAGGCCCAGACCCAUUGUUUCAACUGGAGACCUGUGAAGGGCGAUCCCAGCCUCAGAACCUCGCAUGGGAUGGACUCAGUACUCUGCUGCAACUGCAUUUCAGUUUAACUUCUCCCUUUACCCAGUCCUAACUUCCUUAUUCCCUAAAAAAUGUUUCUGGGAGUGCUCCUCAGUAAACUUCAUGCAUAAACACUUCAGAGGCUCAGAGUAUGUUUCCUGGAGAAUUCCAUCUGUGGCGUUUCCUCUUCAUGCCUACUGCCACCAUCCAGGUUUAGGCCCCCAUUACCGCUUACCUGGAAUAUUGCAAAAGCUUUAUCACUAUUCUCUUUGCUCACUGGCUCUCCUAUAAUCAGUCUACACAACAGCAGACUAAUUUUUUUUAUCCCAGAUCAUAGCUCUUAUGCUGUUUUCCUGCUCAAAAACUUUGGUGGCCCCCCAGUCUAUUUAAUUAGGUUCUUACUCCUUAUUGUGAUUUUCAAGACCCUUCCCAAUUUAGCCCCCACUAUUUUCAGCUCUCAUCUUCUACUCCAGUAUAAGUAUGCUCCGCUCCAUUUAAACUAGAACAUUUGCAAUCCUCCAAAUCUACUGUAAAAAUUCAUUUUUCCUAUAUUUGUUCCAAAUGUUCUCUUCUAUUAUCUUCUUUAUAAAAUUUGAACCAUAUUUCAAGGUCCAUUCUCCUUUUUCUUUUUCAUUUUUUUUCUAGAUGGAGUCUCGCACUGUCGCCCAGGCUAGAGUGCAGUGGCGCGAUCUCGGCUUACUGCAACCUCCGCCUCCUGGGUUCAAGCGAUUCUCCUGCCUCAGCCUUCCGAGUAGCUGGGAUUACAGGUGCCCCCCACCACACCCAGCUAAUUUUUGUAUUUUUAGUAGAGACGGGAUUUCACUGUAUUGGCCAGGCUGGUCUCAAACUCCUAACCUUGUGAUCUACCCACCUCGGCCUCCCAAAGUGCUGGGAUUACAGGCGUGAGCCACUGCUCCUGGCCAGGCUUAAGGUCCAUUGUGAGAGCAAUAUUCAUUCUUGGCAUACCUGUAUCAAUGUAUCUUAUGUACCCCAUAAAUAUAUAUCCCUACUAUGUGACCAAAAAAAUUAAAAAUAAAAUAAAAAUUUAAAACCCAUACAUUCUCCAUGCAGAUUUUCCUCGUACCUCAACCCAAUGUCAUCUCUUCUUCAUUAGUUAUCCCAAUGCAGUUUGUACUUCUCCUUGGUAUCUAUUGAUUAUAUUUACUGUGUGUCAAUUUCACCAUUUUACCUCUCUUCCCUAUCCUUUCACCUGCACUGAUAGAAUGUAACUGUGAGAGCAAGAUUUUACCUCAAUCAUCUUUGUAUCACUUGAAACAAGAAGCAUCAUCCUUAAUCCUGGAGUUCAAUAAAUCAUUAAUAAAUUCAAUUGAAUACAAGCUGCCAAUUUGUUUGACAUUUUUGUGAAUGC